UCUCUCAGUGGUCAAUGGAUGGAGUAUGACUGAGUUUUCCAUGGUCGAUUUGGUUGGUUGCAUGAAGAAAGGCACCGAGCAUAAGAAGCAGUUGUUCUCUGAACUAGUAGUUUUCUCCGAGUAUGAGAUAGUUUUAUCAGUAUAGUUUUGACCCUUGCAAUAGUUGGAUCACGAGCCAGCCACCGGUUGUACCGUCCUUAGCAUUGCUGACAAUGGCAGGUAUUCUACAGACAAUGAGAAAAAGUUAGAUGGGGGACAAACCAUAAUUGCUACAUCAUUGCAGAGGGAAGGGCGCCGCCGUUGCCUCUAUAUGGGGAGCCUGCCACUUCCCCUCCAGCCAGAUCUGGCGGAUCAGAGAGGGUCAUCGCCAUCGCCUGGAUCCGUCGGCUAGGAGAGCAGAGUAGUCAUCUCUGUUGCCGCCACGGUGGGGAGGAGGCACGGUGGAGGCAGGUGGGGAGAGGCCGCGGUAGGGGGCGGGUGGGAGUGUGUCUAGGAUGUGGAGGACGGAGGAGAAGGGGGUGAGUGCGGCAGCAGUGUGGAGGAGAACUGUGGGGAUAAUGCUGACUGGGAGCAGAUAAGCGAGUUACCAAAAUUAUCCUUGAUGCGGUACCUCUUGGAAAACAGAGUUAGAAGGAUAAAAACGUAACUUCGCGUGCAAUAGAUGGAUUGGGAGGAAUCGAACCCUGGAUCGAUGCCUCCACCGCCUCCUGGAUCUUCUCCGCCGACUAUUGGAGGUGAACUCAGCCGCCGCCGCCGCUGCCGGGAAAGACGACAUCGACGCCAUCGCCGCCACCGGGAACGACGACAUCGACGCCGCUGCAGCCGGGAACGACGACAUUGACGCCGCCGCCGCCGGGAACGACGAGUUUGACGCCGCCGCGCCUGCUUCAACGCUGCCGUCGGGAAGGACUCCGCCACCGCUGGGAACAACGAGUUCGAGGCCGCCGCCGCCGCCGCCGGGAACCACGACAUCGACGCCACAGCAGGACGACUUUAGCAGUCCACACGUUUUUUUCUUCCGAUCCUACCCAUGCCGGAAUGAACGGUUAGAUACGUACUAGUACCGAGCGAUACCAGUACCGAGCGAUACAAUUUGCUGGACCAUAAAGACGCUCAUGAACAUUACUUCCUUUCGCUACGUUGGACCUAUUUUUCAUUUCAUGGUAUUGUGUGAGACAUUGGCUCAGAGAGAGUUCGGUUAAUUAAUGAACAUAUCUUCUUCUUCUUCUUCUUCUUCUUCUUCUUCUUCUUUUCUUUCUUUCUUUUUUUUAGAGAGAAACUGCUGUUUAUAUAAGUAGCAGACACCUAUUUGAGCUCGUUCGGCCUAGCAGCUACACGGCAGAGCAUGCAACUCAUCAGAAAAUUGCUUGACCUGGCUAGACAGAAGAUGGGGACUAAUCGGAACUGAAAUCUGAAGGCAUCAGGGGUUUACCGGAAUGCUGGCCAGUUUACCUGAGCCUUUAAUUUUUUUCAUGAUCGAUCCAUUGCAUGCUGGUUUUUGCAGCUGGUCGGAAUGGAAAGCAUGUGGGAUUUGAGACGCACCACGCAUCUGAAAUGUCCAGCUCUGCAACUAGUUUUGCAUGGAAGGUGAUUCCUAUCGAGAUAGGUAUACAGGCCAACACAAUAGGUGAUUUUCUCAUGUAGCCAAACCUGUAAACAAUCGAGCCUCAGCUCUCUUGCAGAUGUUGGUAGGA